rnacentral:sRNA from 1 species
UUCUAACCCCGAUUGUAACGGCAUCCUUUUUUGCUCUUUUUUUGAGCAAAAAAGAUAGAGUGGAAAGCGGGAAAAAGG